GAGUACGGCCGCAAGGCUGAAACUUAAAGGAAUCGGCGGGGGAGCACUACAACGGGUGGAGCCUGCGGUUUAAUUGGACUCAACGCCGGAAAACUCACCGGGGGCGACAGCAAUAUGUAGGUCAGGUUAAAGGUCUUACCUGAAUCGCUGAGAGGAGGUGCAUGGCCGUCGUCAGUUCGUACUGUGAAGCAUCCUGUUAAGUCAGGCAACGAGCAAGACCCGUGCCCACUGUUACCAGCAUAUCCUUUAUGGAUGAUGGGGACUCUGUGGGGACCGCUGCUGCUAAAGCAGAGGAAGGUGCGGGCUACGGUAGGUCAGUAUGCCCCGAAUCUCCCGGGCUACACGCGGGCUACAAUGGUUGGGACAAUGGGUACCUACUCCGAAAGGAGUUGGCAAUCUCUUAAACCCAAUCGUAGUUCGAAUUGAGGGCUGUAACUCGCCCUCAUGAAGCUGGAAUCCGUAGUAAUCGCGUUUCAACAUAGCGCGGUGAAUCUGUCCCUGCUCCUUGCACACACCGCCCGUCAAACCAUCCGAGUGAGGUAUGGGUGAGGGCACGAACUUAGUGUCGUGCUCGAACCUAAAUUUCGCAAGGAGGGUUAAGUCGUAACAAGGUAGCCGUAGGGGAAUCUGCGGCUGGAUCACCUCCU
rnacentral:rRNA from 1 species